UACAGAGACUGCAAGCGUUAUUCGGAUUCACUGGGCGUAAAGGGUGCGCAGGCGGCCGGGUGUGUCAGAUGUGAAAUCCCGAGGCUUAACCUCGGAACUGCGUCUGAAACUACUCGGCUAGAGUACUGGAGAGGGUAACGGAAUUCACGGUGUAGCAGUGAAAUGCGUAGAUAUCGUGAGGAACACCAGAGGCGAAGGCGGUUACCUGGACAGUUACUGACGCUCAGGCACGAAAGCAUGGGGAGCAAACGGG
rnacentral:rRNA from 1 species